CUAUAAUGGAGAGUUUGAUCCUGGCUCAGGACGAACGCUGGCGGCGUGCCUAAUACAUGC
rnacentral:rRNA from 1 species